rnacentral:rRNA from 1 species
AUUGAACGCUGGCGGCAGGCCUAACACAUGCAAGUCGAGCGGAUGAGUGGAGCUUGCUCCAUGAUUCAGCGGCGGACGGGUGAGUAAUGCCUAGGAAUCUGCCUGGUAGUGGGGGACAACGUUUCGAAAGGAAAGCUAAUACCGCAUACGUCCUACGGGAGAAAGCAGGGGACCUUCGGGCCUUGCGCUAUCAGAUGAGCCUAGGUCGGAUUAGCUAGUAGGUGAGGGAAUGGCUCACCUAGGCGACGAUCCGUAACUGGUCUGAGAGGAUGGUCAGUCACACUGGAACUGAGACACGGUACAGACUCCUACGGGAGGCAGCAGUGGGGAAUAUUGGACAAUGGGCGAAAGCCUGAUCCAGCCAUGCCGCGUGUGUGAAGAAGGUCUUCGGAUUGUAAAGCACUUUAAGUUGGGAGGAAGGGCAGUAAGUUAAUACCUUGCUGUUUUGACGUUACCAACAGAAUAAGCACCGGCUAACUUCGUGCCAGCCGCCGCAGUAA